AUAUAUCAACCUUCUCUUUUUUGAGUUGUUUGGAUGUGGGGGUUUGCUGGCCACGAUUCAGCUCCCCUGAAAUGCAUUAGCAGAACAACCUGUUCAUUGGCGUGAUAAUUAUCUAUGCUAUUGAAUGUGAGGGCAGUUCAGCUUUCUAACAGUCUUUGGACAAAUUCAUCAUUA
rnacentral:misc_RNA from 1 species